GACGAACGCUGGCGGCGUGCUUAACACAUGCAAGUCGAACGGAAAGGCCCUGCUUUUGUGGGGUGCUCGAGUGGCGAACGGGUGAGUAACACGUGAGUAACCUGCCCUUGACUUUGGGAUAACUUCAGGAAACUGGGGCUAAUACCGGAUAGGAUCUCCUGCUGCAUGGUGGGGGUUGGAAAGUUUCGGCGGUUGGGGAUGGACUCGCGGCUUACCAGCUUGUUGGGGGGGUAGUUGCUUACCAAGCCUUUGAAGGAUAGGCGGCCUGGGAGGGUGACCGGCCACAUUGGGACUGAGGUACGCCCCAGACUGCAACGGGAGGCAGCAGUGGAGAAUAUUGCACAAUGGGCGGAAGCCUGAUGCGGAAACGCCGCGUGCGGGAUGACGGCCUUCGGGUUAUAAACCGCUUUCGCAUGUGACGAAGCGUGAGUGACGGUAAUGAGUAAAGAAGCACCGGCUAACUACGUG
rnacentral:rRNA from 1 species